rnacentral:rRNA from 1 species
GCGGGGGAUAACUAUUGGAAACGAUAGCUAAUACCGCAUAAAAUUGAUUAUUGCAUGAUAAUUAAUUGAAAGAUGCAAUUGCAUCACUACCAGAUGGACCUGCGUUGUAUUAGCUAGUUGGUGAGGUAACGGCUCACCAAGGCGACGAUACAUAGCCGACCUGAGAGGGUGAUCGGCCACACUGGGACUGAGACACGGCCCAG